rnacentral:lncRNA from 1 species
GAACGAUCCAAGCCUUCUAGAACAACUAAGGCACCUCUAGACUCGUUUAUGUUUCCCUCCAUGCUACAAUUAAGCUUUCUUCCUUCCAUUGUUAUCUUCCUAGGAGAACACUUAGAGGAGAAUUUCACUCGAGAAUUCAAUGAAUUCUGCAACAGUACUAGUGGUGUGAAACUCCUGAAUGUGCCAUAGAUCAUAUCAACAAAAACUGUAAAUGUACAAGUGUUGCGCACACUAGCUGUAACACCUACCUACCUCCUUUGCUUCAAUUUGAUGUGGAUUGAUGGAAGGGGGUGGAUUCCCACUCAAAACAGCCAGCAAUUUCGCGAUCUUGAUGUUCCUGGUAGGGUUUUUGCGAAGAGAGUGGCAUCAACUUGCAGCGGCGUACUCCGACGGCGACG